rnacentral:rRNA from 1 species
AGAGUUUGAUCCUGGCUCAGGACGAACGCUGGCGGCGUGCCUAAUACAUGCAAGUCGAACGAACCGCGACUAAGUGCUUGCACUAAGUCAAGGUGAGUGGCGAACGGGUGAGUAACACGUGGGUAACCUACCUCAUAGUGGGGGAUAACAGUCGGAAACGACUGCUAAUACCGCAUAGGACAUGGAAUCACAUGAUUCUGUGAGGAAAGGUGGCGCAAGCUAUCGCUAAGAGAUGGACCCGCGGUGCAUUAGCUAGUUGGUAGGGUAAAGGCCUACCAAGGCGAUGAUGCAUAGCCGACCUGAGAGGGUGAUCGGCCACAUUGGGACUGAGACACGGCCCAAACUCCUACGGGAGGCAGCAGUAGGGAAUCUUCCGCAAUGGACGCAAGUCUGACGGAGCAACGCCGCGUGAGUGAAGAAGGUCUUCGGAUCGUAAAGCUCUGUUGUUAGAGAAGAACAGCGCAUAGAGUAACUGCUAUGCGUGUGACGGUAUCUAACCAGAAAGCCACGGCUAACUACGUGCCAGCAGCCGCGGUAAUACGUAGGUGGCGAGCGUUGUCCGGAUUUAUUGGGCGUAAAGGGAGUGUAGGCGGUCUUUUAAGUCUGAUGUGAAAGCCCACGGCUCAACCGUGGAGGGUCAUUGGAAACUGGGAGACUUGAGUGCAGAAGAGGAGAGCGGAAUUCCAUGUGUAGCGGUGAAAUGCGUAGAUAUAUGGAGGAACACCAGUGGCGAAGGCGGCUCUCUGGUCUGUAACUGACGCUGAGGCUCGAAAGCGUGGGGAGCAAACAGGAUUAGAUACCCUGGUAGUCCACGCCGUAAACGAUGAGUGCUAAGU